GCCUCGUUGGCGCAGUCUGGCAGCGCGUCAGUCUCAUAAUCUGAAGGUCGUGAGUUCGAGCCUCACACAGGGCA